rnacentral:tRNA from 1 species
CCCUCGCUAGCUCAGAUGGCCUAGAGCACCCGACUCUUAAUCGGGGGGUCCGCGGUUCGAGUCCGUGGCGGGGGA